CAUGGUGGGGCUGUAUCAUUGGGACACCCAUUAGGAUGCAAUGGAGCUCGUAUCUUGGUCACAUUGUUAGGGGUAUUGAGACAUAAAAAGGGAAAGUACGGGGUUGGUGUCAUAUGCAACGGUGGCGGGGGAGCUUCUUCACUUGUUCUUGAGCUCAUUGUUGAAUGUUUUAAACUAAA